UCUGACGGAGCACGCCGCGUGAGUGAUGAAGGCUUUCGGGUCGUAAAACUCUGUUGUUAGGGAAGAACAAGUACGAGAGUAACUGCUCGUACCUUGACGGUACCUAACCAGAAAGCCACGGCUAACUACGUGCCAGCAGCCGCGGUAAUACGUAGGUGGCAAGCGUUAUCCGGAAUUAUUGGGCGUAAAGCGCGCGCAGGCGGUUUCUUAAGUCUGAUGUGAAAGCCCACGGCUCAACCGUGGAGGGUCAUUGGAAACUGGGGAACUUGAGUGCAGAAGAGAAAAGCGGAAUUCCACGUGUAGCGGUGAAAUGCGUAGAGAUGUGGAGGAACACCAGUGGCGAAGGCGGCUUUUUGGUCUGUAACUGACGCUGAGGCGCGAAAGCGUGGGGAGCAAACAGGAUUAGAUACCCUGGUAGUCCACGCCGUAAACGAUGAGUGCUAAGUGUUAGAGGGUUUCCGCCCUUUAGUGCUGCAGCUAACGCAUUAAGCAUCCGC
rnacentral:rRNA from 2 species